UUCUGAGUUGUGAAAACAAUGUGGAAGGGCAGGGCGGUGCCAGGGAUCGUAAAAUGGCGUCCCGGGGUCGGGUUUGAAUGUGCCAGUGAAGCAGCAUUGUUUGGCUAAGCAAGGCCCAGGGCAAGAGUAUGGCUGAGGCCCACCUCCCAUGUCUAGCGACUUAUAACUCAUCAAUCAAGCUAGCAAAAUGUCAGGUACAAUGUGAGCAAACAGAGCAGACAGAGGACAUCACAUGGAGGCAGCAAGAACAUGCUAAAGGAACUGUACUCUUGGGGAAAUAAAAUAUUACAUCCUU